rnacentral:rRNA from 1 species
UACGUAGGGUGCGAGCGUUAAUCGGAAUCACUGGGCGUAAAGCGCGCGUAGGCGGUCAUUUAAGUCCGGGGUGAAAGGUUCAGCGCUCAACGCGAACAGUGCCUCGGAUACUGGGUGACUUGAGUCUGGCAGGGGGUGGCGGAAUUCCUGGUGUAGCGGUGAAAUGCGUAGAUAUCAGGAGGAACACCGGUGGCGAAGGCGGCAUCCUGGACCGAGAUUGACGCUGGAGGCGCGAAAGCUAGGGGAGCAAACGGG